rfam:Callipepla squamata strain Texas jcf7180005232361, whole genome shotgun sequence.
UGCCAUGCUUGGGGGCAUGGUCAUGCAGGGCUUAACUGAGAGGACAAUGGCAUGUAUAGGCAUAAUGCGGGGAUUUCGGGGUGUCCGUGGUUAGAGUUCUCUCAGG